AGGGAAUCUUCCACAAUGGACGCAAGUCUGAUGGAGCAACGCCGCGUGAGUGAAGAAGGUUUUCGGACCGUAAAGCUCUGUUGUUGGUGAAGAAGGAUAGAGGUAGUAACUGGCCUUUAUUUGACGGUAAUCAACCAGAAAGUCACGGCUAACUACGUGCCAGCAGCCGCGGUAAAUACGUAGGUGGCAAAGCGUUGUCCGGAUUUAUUGGGCGUAAAAGCGAGCGCAGGCGGAAGAAUAAGUCUGAUGUGAAAGCCCUCGGCUUAACCGAGGAAUUGCAUCGGAAACUGUUUUUCUUGAGUGCAGAAAGAGGAGAGUAGAACUCCAUGUGUAGCGGUGGAAUGCGUAGAUAUAUGGAAGAAUACCAGUGGCGAAGGCGGCUCUCUGGUCUGCAAACUGACGCUGAGGCUCGAAAAGCAUGGGUAGCGAACAGGA
rnacentral:rRNA from 1 species